rnacentral:rRNA from 1 species
GACGAACGCUGGCGGCGUGCCUAAUACAUGCAAGUAGAACGCAGUUGCGAACGGGUGAGUAACGCGUAGGUAACUGCCUCAUAGCGGGGGAUAACUAUUGGAAACGAUAGCUAAUACCGCAUACUGUGAGAUGGACCUGCGUUGUAUUAGCUAGUUGGUGAGGGAAAGGCUCACCAAGGCGACGAUACAUAGCCGACCUGGGAGGGUGGACCGCCACACCGGGACUUGGAAAAGGCCCAGGAUCCUACGGGAGGCAGGAGUAGGGGAUCUUCGGAAAUGGACGGCAGUCUGACCGAGCAACGCCGCGUGAGUGAAGAAGGUUUUCGGAUCGUAAAGCUAUGUUGUUAGAGAAGCGUUAACUAACCAGAAAGGGACGGCUAACUACGUGCCAGCAGCCGCGGUAAUAC